rnacentral:lncRNA from 1 species
AUAUAGUGAGCUGUAUACUUGGGAUAUAUGCAUUUUACUGUAUGUAAAUUAUGCCUCAGUAAAGUGCUGGGGAAAGUGAUGAAGGUAUUCACCCUGCUGGCAUCAAGGUUUUCUGAAAAGUCCUGCACUGCUACAAAACACCCAAAGGCUGAAUAAGUUACCGCAAAUGUACUUCAAAGUGGAAUGCUGAACUCAGCAGAAAAUAUGGAAAAUUCCUAAAUGCCAGAUUUGAAAAAUGAUAAACAUGAACUUGGGUGAUAAUUGUAACUCUUAUAUAUGAAAGCCCUUCCUCUUCUAAGAACAAAGUAUAAUGCCUAGAGUUUGGGGAACGGGAGCUUAGGCCUUGGGCCUGAACAAAGUUGGGGAAUUAAACCAAAGAUAACAGCUGGGUAUGGUGGCUCACGCUUGUAAUUCCAGCAGUUUGGGAGGCCGAGGUGUGUAGAUCACCCGAGGUCAGGAGUUCGAACUUCACAUGGCCAACAUGGUGAAACCCCAUUUCUACUAAAAAUGCAAAAAUUAGCUGGGCGUGGUGGCGCACGCCCAUAAUCCCAGCUACUCAGGAGGCUGAGACAGGAGAAUCGCUUGAACCCGGGAGGCAGAGGUUGUAGGCAGAGGUUGCAGUGAGUCGAGACCACACCACUACACUCCAGCCUGGGCGAAAGAGUGAGACUCUGUCUCAACAAAAACAACCAGCCAAAAAUCCCUGCAUCUUCAGUUGGAAUAUUAACAGGUGUUAACACCUACAAGUGAAGGGUGGAUAGGGAAGUCAGCCUCUUGAAAAGGAAACCAAAGGGUAAUCUGACUGACUUUGCCCCUUUUCCAGGUAGUAAAUGAGAUGAUGGUGCUGCCUCUGUAAUCAUAGGCCUCCUUUCACAGAGAUCAGGGAUUUAAUGCCACAUUCAUGAAGUCUGCAGAUCAAGAAAAUAAAGUGAAUCUUAGAUUUAUACCACUUCCUGAAAACCAUCAGAAUAAAACAAGUCUUGGCAGGGCACAUGGCUCACACCUUUAAUCCCAGCACUUCGGGAGGCCAAGGUGAGUGGAUCACUUGUGGCCAGGGUUUGAGACCAGCCUGGCUAACAUGGCGAAAUCCCAUCUCUACUAAAAUACAAAAAUUAUCCAGUGUGGUGGCGCCCACCUGUAGUCCUAUCUACUUGGGGGGCUGAGGCAUGAGAAUUACUUGAAUCUGGGAGGCGGAGGUUGCAGUGAGCCGAGGUCGCGACACUGCACUCCAGCCUGGACAAAAGAGCGAGACUCUCUAAAAAAAAAAAAAGAAUAAAGUCCUUUGGGGGGAAAAAAAAAAAAACCUGUCAAUCCCCACCCCCAUACUCCCACUAACUAAAUUCAGAUACGAAAUUACUAUCAAAAAGAGUAAGUAAGCCAUCAUGUGUGAAUAUUAAAAAAAUUAAUUCUAGCUUCUGGCAGUGCGAGACUAGCUUGUAUCAGACUAAAGCUUAGUAACUUAAUAAUUUGGAACAAAAUAUUAUUUAAAGAGUGAUGCCCCAGGUGAGUGAACAGAAACUGUAGGGCAUUUGACCCCUGUUAAAAAGGUGUGUUCACUGGAUAGGAUCUCAGCUUUUCCCCAGAGAGCAUCCACCAUGCACUCAGCACACUGAAGGUAGAGUUCAUGCAGAUGGUGACGAAUAAUAUUAGGCUGAGGAGUCAGAUCUUAUUUGAGAGCAAACAGAGGCUGGAAAUUGAGGAAGGAAAUCCUAGACUGCAAGGAGUCAGAAAAAGAAGUCCCCAAAUCUACAUACAAACUUCCCUCAGAUGGUUGGCUGAUUAAAUAGUGUGCACAGGAUGAAACUCCAGGAAGGUCAGAGAAAAACAACCACCGGAAGGCAGAAAGAUCUAAGCAGCAGUCUCAGCAGUUGCCCAGCACCACAAACACAGAGGUCGAAGUUCAAAUUUGGAGGGGCUUGGUAAACACUGUUAACUUUAUGGUGAGAUCCAAGAAGGGCAUGUGUAGAAAUUAAGACCAUUUCUAAGACCUUAGGGCUGUUUCUAGAGCCAACUACAAAAUGGAAAUUGACCACAUCUAAUAAAGUGGCUAUUUUAUUGAUUAUUUUUGAAAAUAGUCAAUAAAAAGCAGACCCACUAGUGACCUAGAUGUUGGAAUUGGCAGACAAAUUCUUCAAAAUAAGUAUCAGUGUUUUAAAAAUGUAUACAGAGAAAUGUGGAUAUAAUAAGUAUAAUAAUGGGAAGUUUCAGAAGAGGUCUGAAAACGGGGAAAAAAAUCCUAAAACCAAAAAAGUAUCUAAAAUCAAAAACUCAUUGGGAUUUACAGCAAAUUGGACACACACAAGAAAGGAUCAGUGAACUUGAGCACAGGUCAAUAAAAAAUGUCCAAACUGAACCACAGAGAAAAAAGAUAAAGGGAUUAAAAAAAAAAAAACAGCCUUGAUGAUCAAAUACAUGCAUUGACCUGGAAGGAGAGAAGAUAGAGAGUGGAGGCUCUGAAGGAGACUCUUAUUUUCUCCAUUCUGUGGUUGCUGGUAAUUCUUGGCUUGUCAGAUGCCUCACUCCAAUCUCUGCCAUUGUCUUCACUUGGCAUUACUCUCUGCAUGUUUUUGUGUCUUUCUUCUCUGCCUCCUCUUAUAAGGACACUAGUUACAUUGAAUUUAUAGCCCACUUUAAUCCAUUAUGACCUUAUCUUAACUGGAUCUGCAUAGACUCCGCAGUGAGUCGAAUUGUGUCCACAGGUAAGAAAGACAUGUUUAGUCCUACCCACUAAUACGUCAGAAUGUGACAUUAUUUGGAAGUCGGGUCUUUACAGAGGUAAGCAAAUUAAAAUGAGAUCAUUACGGUGAACCCUAGCCCAGUAUGACUGAUGGCCUUAUUAAAAGGGGAAAUGACACAGACACAUAGAGAAGGAAGAUGAUGUGCAGAUACAGAGAAACACCAUCCACAAACCAAAGGGUGUCUGAAUCUACCACAACCUAGGAGAGGCAUGAAGCAGAUAACCCCUCACAAUCCUCAGAAAGAACCAACCCUGCCAACACCUUGAUUUUAGGCAUCUAACCUCCAAAACAGUCAAAAAUUAUUGUGGUUUAAACCACUCAAUUUAUAGUACUUUGUUACAACAGCCCCAGGAAAUUAAUAUAAAUCAUAUUUCUAAAUUGAGUCUCAUGCUGAUAUUCUGAAUAGAUGAAAUUCGGAUACACUAUUCAACCUAAUACAUCUACUAAACGUUUAAAGAAGAAUUAACAACAAUCAUUCACAAACUCUUACAAAAAGAAGAGGGAACAUUUCUCAAUUUAUUCUAUGAAGCCAGCAUUAGCCUGAUACCAAAGCCAGACAGACAUAACAAGGGAAAACAAAACAAGCUGAAGACCAAUAUUUCUGAUGAAUAUACAGGUAUACCCUCAUCUUAUUGUACUUUGCAGAUACUGUGUUUUUUUAAUAAAUUGAAGGUUUGUGGCAACCCAGCAUCAAGCAAGUCUCACAGUGCCAUUUUUCCAACAUUGUGUGCUAAUUUCAUGUCUCUGUGUCACAUUUUGGUAAUUCUUGCAAUAUUUCAAACUUUUUUAUUAUUAGAAUAUCUGUUACAGGGUUCAGUGGUAUUUGAUGAUACUAUUGUAAUUGUUUGGGGGCAUCACAGACUACACCCGUAUGAGAGGAUGAACUUAAAUGAUAAAUUGUGUGUGUGUGCAUGCAUGUGUGCGUGCAUGUGGACUGUUACACUCAUUGGUCCUUCUGCUGUCUCUCUCCCUCUCCUCAGCCCUCUUUAU